UUCACCGUAGUAUGUUUUAUAAAUUUCAGUGAUAUAUUUACUAAAAAAAAAUUAUAACUAAAUAAAUAAUACGACAAAAAUUGUAAAACGUUAAUAUAAAUGGCUUAUUGUUUCGAUGAAUUGGAAAAUUAUGCGGUGACUCCGAUGCUCGCAACACCAUGUGUUCCUGAUCAAUGCUGUGAAAGGUCACCUGUAUGCUGUGCAUCCUUACCACGCUGUCAGAAAGGAGAAAUUGUAUAUGUUGAAAAGCCACAGACAAAAUGUUACAAAAAGACAAAUGCUACUAACUACAAUUGUUGCAGCGAAUGUUCAAAACAAUCUCGUUCACCCGAACCUUUAAGACGACAAACGUGUUGUUCAUCUCAAGAAUAUUGUCCCACAUGUAACAAAUGCAAUCCCUGCAAAUCAAUAAAGACAAAAUACGUCAUCCCUUGCUACCGGUACGAAGAUGGUCGAAUCGUAAAUCAACCAACAGUUCUGAUGCGCCGUGCAUGUGAAGUUGCUGUCGGCGCACGGCCUCGACGAAAACCUUUUGUAGAGUCCUGCUAUAGUGCCGACCCGGACCAACAAAUACAUCGCUACGUCUCACAAGAUGAACGGGGUAAUUGUUGCUACCACUUCGAGAAAAAGAAAAACGAACCAUUUUUCGACGGCACUCAUUGUUGCCAUUGGAGCCCCCAGUGUGGAGACGGUGUUCGAGCGAAUGUUAUUUCUACCGGGAGCCCCUGCGCCCAUUUCUAUUGUUGUUGAUAAUUGUUAUUGUGACAUGUCUGGCGGCUGAAUAAAGUCGCCAUGGUAUAUUAAAUUGAUUACUCACGACAGCCAAUCUCAAG